UACGAAGGGGGCUAGCGUUGUUCGGAAUUACUGGGCGUAAAGCGCGCGCAGGCGGCUUCUCAAGUCAGUGGUGAAAGCCCGGAGCUCAACUCCGGAACUGCCAUUGAAACUGUGAGACUUGAGGACGAGAGAGGUGAGUGGAAUUCCCAGUGUAGAGGUGAAAUUCGUAGAUAUUGGGAAGAACACCGGUGGCGAAGGCGGCUCACUGGCUCGUUUCUGACGCUCAGGCGCGACAGCGUGGGGAUCAAACAGG
rnacentral:rRNA from 1 species